rnacentral:rRNA from 1 species
ACGGAGGAUCCGAGCGUUAUCCGGAUUUAUUGGGUUUAAAGGGCGCGCAGGCGGGGAUUUAAGUCAGGGGUGAAAAACCACCGCUCAACGGGGGAACUGCACUUGAUACUGCAUGUCUAGAGUAUAGUUGGGGAGGGCGGAAUGUAGCAUGUAGCGGUGAAAUGCUUAGAUAUGCGACAGAACACCGAUCGUGAAGACAGCUCACUAAGCUAUAACUGACGCUCAGGCACGAAAGCAUGGGGAGCAAACAG